UACGAAGGGGGCUAGCGUUGUUCGGAAUUACUGGGCGUAAAGGGCGCGUAGGCGGCCUGCUAAGUCGAACGUGAAAUCCCUGGGCUCAACCCAGGAACUGCGUCCGAUACUGGUUGGCUUGAAUCCGGGAGAGGGACGUGGAAUUCCAGGUGUAGCGGUGAAAUGCGUAGAUAUCUGGAGGAACACCGGUGGCGAAGGCGACGUCCUGGACCGGCAUUGACGCUGAGGCGCGAAAGCUAGGGGAGCAAACGGG
rnacentral:rRNA from 1 species